GCCUGGCUGGCUUAGUCAGUAGAGCAUGUGACUCUUCAUCUUGGGGUUAUGAGUUCGAGCCCCAUGUUAGGUG
rfam:Ailuropoda melanoleuca scaffold569_59, whole genome shotgun sequence.